rnacentral:rRNA from 1 species
UUAAGCGACUAAGCGUACACGGUGGAUGCCCUGGCAGUCAGAGGCGAUGAAGGACGUGCUAAUCUGCGAUAAGCGUCGGUAAGGUGAUAUGAACCGUUAUAACCGGCGAUUUCCGAAUGGGGAAACCCAGUGUGUUUCGACACACUAUCAUUAACUGAAUCCAUAGGUUAAUGAGGCGAACCGGGGGAACUGAAACAUCUAAGUACCCCGAGGAAAAGAAAUCAACCGAGAUUCCCCCAGUAGCGGCGAGCGAACGGGGAGCAGCCCAGAGCCUGAAUCAGUGUGUGUGUUAGUGGAAGCGUCUGGAAAGGCGCGCGAUACAGGGUGACAGCCCCGUACACAAAAAUGCACAUGCUGUGAGCUCGAUGAGUAGGGCGGGACACGUGGUAUCCUGUCUGAAUAUGGGGGGACCAUCCUCCAAGGCUAAAUACUCCUGACUGACCGAUAGUGAACCAGUACCGUGAGGGAAAGGCGAAAAGAACCCCGGCGAGGGGAGUGAAAAAGAACCUGAAACCGUGUACGUACAAGCAGUGGGAGCACGCUUAGGCGUGUGACUGCGUACCUUUUGUAUAAUGGGCCAGCGACUUAUAUUCUGUAGCAAGGUUAACCGAAUAGGGGAGCCGAAGGGAAACCGAGUCUUAACUGGGCGUUAAGUUGCAGGGUAUAGACCCGAAACCCGGUGAUCUAGCCAUGGGCAGGUUGAAGGUUGGGUAACACUAACUGGAGGACCGAACCGACUAAUGUUGAAAAAUUAGCGGAUGACUUGUGGCUGGGGGUGAAAGGCCAAUCAAACCGGGAGAUAGCUGGUUCUCCCCGAAAGCUAUUUAGGUAGCGCCUCGUGAAUUCAUCUCCGGGGGUAGAGCACUGUUUCGGCAAGGGGGUCAUCCCGACUUACCAACCCGAUGCAAACUGCGAAUACCGGAGAAUGUUAUCACGGGAGACACACGGCGGGUGCUAACGUCCGUCGUGAAGAGGGAAACAACCCAGACCGCCAGCUAAGGUCCCAAAGUCAUGGUUAAGUGGGAAACGAUGUGGGAAGGCCCAGACAGCCAGGAUGUUGGCUUAGAAGCAGCCAUCAUUUAAAGAAAGCGUAAUAGCUCACUGGUCGAGUCGGCCUGCGCGGAAGAUGUAACGGGGCUAAACCAUGCACCGAAGCUGCGGCAGCGACGCUUAUGCGUUGUUGGGUAGGGGAGCGUUCUGUAAGCCUGUGAAGGUGUACUGUGAGGUAUGCUGGAGGUAUCAGAAGUGCGAAUGCUGACAUAAGUAACGAUAAAGCGGGUGAAAAGCCCGCUCGCCGGAAGACCAAGGGUUCCUGUCCAACGUUAAUCGGGGCAGGGUGAGUCGACCCCUAAGGCGAGGCCGAAAGGCGUAGUCGAUGGGAAACAGGUUAAUAUUCCUGUACUUGGUGUUACUGCGAAGGGGGGACGGAGAAGGCUAUGUUGGCCGGGCGACGGUUGUCCCGGUUUAAGCGUGUAGGCUGGUUUUCCAGGCAAAUCCGGAAAAUCAAGGCCGAGGCGUGAUGACGAGGCACUACGGUGCUGAAGCAACAAAUGCCCUGCUUCCAGGAAAAGCCUCUAAGCAUCAGGUAACAUCAAAUCGUACCCCAAACCGACACAGGUGGUCAGGUAGAGAAUACCAAGGCGCUUGAGAGAACUCGGGUGAAGGAACUAGGCAAAAUGGUGCCGUAACUUCGGGAGAAGGCACGCUGAUACGUAGGUGAAGCGACUUGCUCGUGGAGCUGAAAUCAGUCGAAGAUACCAGCUGGCUGCAACUGUUUAUUAAAAACACAGCACUGUGCAAACACGAAAGUGGACGUAUACGGUGUGACGCCUGCCCGGUGCCGGAAGGUUAAUUGAUGGGGUUAGCGCAAGCGAAGCUCUUGAUCGAAGCCCCGGUAAACGGCGGCCGUAACUAUAACGGUCCUAAGGUAGCGAAAUUCCUUGUCGGGUAAGUUCCGACCUGCACGAAUGGCGUAAUGAUGGCCAGGCUGUCUCCACCCGAGACUCAGUGAAAUUGAACUCGCUGUGAAGAUGCAGUGUACCCGCGGCAAGACGGAAAGACCCCGUGAACCUUUACUAUAGCUUGACACUGAACAUUGAGCCUUGAUGUGUAGGAUAGGUGGGAGGCUUUGAAGUGUGGACGCCAGUCUGCAUGGAGCCGACCUUGAAAUACCACCCUUUAAUGUUUGAUGUUCUAACGUGGACCCGUGAUCCGGGUUGCGGACAGUGUCUGGUGGGUAGUUUGACUGGGGCGGUCUCCUCCUAAAGAGUAACGGAGGAGCACGAAGGUUGGCUAAUCCUGGUCGGACAUCAGGAGGUUAGUGCAAUGGCAUAAGCCAGCUUGACUGCGAGCGUGACGGCGCGAGCAGGUGCGAAAGCAGGUCAUAGUGAUCCGGUGGUUCUGAAUGGAAGGGCCAUCGCUCAACGGAUAAAAGGUACUCCGGGGAUAACAGGCUGAUACCGCCCAAGAGUUCAUAUCGACGGCGGUGUUUGGCACCUCGAUGUCGGCUCAUCACAUCCUGGGGCUGAAGUAGGUCCCAAGGGUAUGGCUGUUCGCCAUUUAAAGUGGUACGCGAGCUGGGUUUAGAACGUCGUGAGACAGUUCGGUCCCUAUCUGCCGUGGGCGCUGGAGAACUGAGGGGGGCUGCUCCUAGUACGAGAGGACCGGAGUGGACGCAUCACUGGUGUUCGGGUUGUCAUGCCAAUGGCACUGCCCGGUAGCUAAAUGCGGAAGAGAUAAGUGCUGAAAGCAUCUAAGCACGAAACUUGCCCCGAGAUGAGUUCUCCCUGACCCUUUAAGGGUCCUGAAGGAACGUUGAAGACGACGACGUUGAUAGGCCGGGUGUGUAAGCGCAGCGAUGCGUUGAGCUAACCGGUACUAAUGAACCGUGAGGCUUAACCUU